rnacentral:rRNA from 1 species
AUUUGGAGGGUGUGCCCUUGAGGCCUGGCUUCCGGAGCUAACGCGUUAAAUCGACCGCCUGGGGAGUACGGCCGUUACCCGAAAACUCAAAUGAAUUGACGGGGGCCCGCACAAGCGGUAGGUCGCUUCUCUUUGGUUACGCCAUUGUAACCCGUGUGUAGCCCUUCUCGUUUGGUGCCUUCGGGAACUCUGAGACAGGUGCUCCGUGGCUGUCGUCAGCUCGUGUUGUGAAAUGUUGGGUUAAGUCCCGCAACGAGCGAAACACUUAUCCUUUGUUGCCAGCGGUUCGGCCGGGAACUCAAAGGAGACUGCCAGUGAUAAACUGGAGGAAGGUGGGGCGGAAUAAAAUGGAGGAAGGUGGGGAUGACGUCAAGUCAUCAUGGCCCUUACGAGUAGGGCUACACACGUGCUACAAUGGCGUAUACAAAGAGAAGCGACCACCCUUUCUCCAAAGAAAUUUUUCAAAGA